GCUGCCAAAUCUAAUGAAUGAAGCGUCUAUAAAGAGAACAAGAUCGUGGGAUGCUGAAAUGUAGUCGUCAUAGAACAAGGAGAGACCAUUCCAGUGGGAGAUUAAUGUGGCACACAUUUUUGUUUCUUUCCUAGCUUCGGCAGGUAUAUUGAUGUGGGAGUUUAGGUUCUUGGCUGCAGUGGAGAAUGCAAAGAGACAAGAGAUGAAUGUUCUGCCCUGCGUAAAGCAAAGUUGAAAUGGCCGAGGAGAGAUAUAAGGUCUAAUUUCUUGAUGGAGAAGGAAAUCUGAAAUGAACUGUUGAGGGAACUAUUAUGUUCUAGCUUGGCAGGAGGGAGGCUGGCUUCGAAUUUUAUCGUAUCGAGCGUUACCCAUAGGAAUUCUAGAGAAUGGUCCGGAACUUGUCUUCAGAAAGUGGGACGUCAAGUGAGGCGAACAGGGUUUUCAGUUGAUUAAUUGCUUGUGCUGGAAGAUUCGAGGAAGAAGUCAUCCAUCAAGUGGAGGAGGAAUGGAUCCAGCAAAGUGCUUCUGAGAGAUUUCAAAUAUUUUUGGGCUGCUACGGAAGCCAAAGAUCAGCCUGGAUGGAAUGCCAGCUUUUUUACUUUAUUUCAGGGCUGUCUUCCAGUCCUAGGGCUACAGAUUGAAAACAAUAUAAUGUAAUAUCAUGGACCUCACGGCUAGAAAGCAUGUACCUGGGCCUGGGGUUUUGGUUUAACCCCCAGUGGACAGUGAGCAGCUGCACCACAUUCGAGAUGGAGAGAAGCCAGCCCUUGGUUUGAUGGGGUCUGUCAGUGUGGGGAUAGUCUAUAGUGAAGAGGACAAGGGAAAAUUUUGCCCUGGAGUGAUACAAGCUAGAACACAAGGAAUACAAGGCUACAUCUUUAUGUGCCAUGGCCUCUCUUCUCACGGUCUAAGUAUCGUGAGUUACCAGGACCCUCCCUGCCUAUUUGUACAAUUGAACUUGUUUUUAGAUAUUAUUAAUGUAUGUCAGUUGUUUUAGGCAGAAUUGCUAUGUUAGAUAGAUUUUGUAUUUACUGUUUUA